GAGCAACCUACCUCUUGGCGGGGGAUAGCCGGCCUAACGGCCGGGUAAUACCGCGUAUUUCGCUAGAGCCGCAUGACUUUAGCGUGAAAGUGGCCGCAAGGUCACACCAGGAGAGGGGCUCGCGGCCUAUCAGCUUGUUGGUGAGGUAACGGCUCACCAAGGCUACGACGGGUAGCUGGUCUGAGAGGAUGAUCAGCCACAUUGGGACUGAGAUACGGCCCAG
rnacentral:rRNA from 1 species